ensembl:lncRNA
CUUGAGGAUCAAAGCGAAAGUAAAAUGCAUCGGCCUAAGCUGUCAUUUUAUGAACACAGAAACAUCUUAACACUUAGUUUUCUUAAUUUAGAUUUUCUGGAUGCAACAUCAUUUAGAUGAAAUAUGACGGCUGUCCAUACAUUUCUACGCAGUUCAGUCCAAAUGCAAAUAUGAAAGUCAUCUGAAGUUGUGUGUCAUUGAGGAGUGACCGGUCAAUGGAUCCUUCACAUAACUUCAGUGGACAAACUGAUCUUAGAUUUAGUGCACAGACCGAACCUGCCUGAACCCAGCUGUGUGUCCAUGAAGAGAGACUGGUCAAUGGAUCCUCCACGUAACUUUAAUGAACACACUGAUCUUGGAUUUAGUUUGGUCCAGAUGCAAAGACCAAAGUUAUCUAAUCCCAGCUGUGUGCCCAUGAGGAGUGUCUGGUCAGUGGAUCCACCACAUAACUUAAGUGGACACAAAGAUCCUAUGUUUAGGUAAGCAUACACUAAACCAUUUAUCUUAUGACAU